AGACGUCUACAUUAGAUACCCCCGUAGUCCCAGCCCUAAACGAUGCGCGUUAGGUGUAUCGGUGACCACGAGUCACCGAGGUGCCGAAGGGAAACCGUGAAACGUGCCGCCUGGGAAGUACGGUCGCAAGGCUGAAACUUAAAGGAAUUGGCGGGGAGCACCACAACGGGUGGAGCCUGCGGUUUAAUUGGACUCAACGCCGGGAAGCUCACCGGAUAAGACAGCGGAAUGAUUGCCGGGCUGAAGACUCUGCAUGACUAGCUG
rnacentral:rRNA from 1 species